rnacentral:rRNA from 1 species
UACGGAGGGUGCAAGCGUUAUCCGGAUUUACUGGGUUUAAAGGGUGUGUAGGCGGACUUUUAAGUCCGUGGUGAAAUCUCCGGGCUCAACCCGGAAACUGCUAUGGAUACUAUUGGUCUUGAAUGUUGUUGAGGUGGGCGGAACGGGUCAUGUAGCGGUGAAAUGCAUAGAUAUGACCCGGAACACCGAUUGCGAAGGCAGCCCACUAAGCAAUGAUUGACGCUGAGGCACGAAAGCGUGGGGAUCAAACAGG